AACCAAGAUCUUCAGCCAUUGAAGUAAAGUAAAACAAUAGCAAACUCAACUGAUUGCAGCAAGUUUCCAAGCAAUUCGCUGGUGUGUAUAUUUAUGGGCUCCUCUUGCA